rnacentral:lncRNA from 1 species
AUGUUAGUUCGAUAUUUUCUUUUUUUUGAGAGAAAGGUAGCACGCUACCUGUUUCAUUCAUUAGGUAAAUAAAUUUGGCUACAAAGGGUGAGGCAAGUAGGGCCUCAAGGAGUGACAAAAUUAAAGAAAGAGGAACUCUAAAAAUAUUUGAAAAGAGCUAAAAAGGGCACGUAGACACGUAGUCUAACAAAAUAAAUGACCUCACCCACGUCUACAAAAAUCGGUCCACUCCUUCGCCGGUACACUAAUACGAUGUGCCAUAGAGGUA